UCUGGAAAGGCGCGCGAUACAGGGUGACAGCCCCGUACACAAAAAUGCACAUGCUGUGAGCUCGAUGAGUAGGGCGGGACACGUGGUAUCCUGUCUGAAUAUGGGGGGACCAUCCUCCAAGGCUAAAUACUCCUGACUGACCGAUAGUGAACCAGUACCGUGAGGGAAAGGCGAAAAGAACCCCGGCGAGGGGAGUGAAAAAGAACCUGAAACCGUGUACGUACAAGCAGUGGGAGCACAGAGCAAUCUGUGUGACUGCGUACCUUUUGUAUAAUGGGUCAGCGACUUAUAUUCUGUAGCAAGGUUAACCGAAUAGGGGAGCCGAAGGGAAACCGAGUCUUAACUGGGCGUUAAGUUGCAGGGUAUAGACCCGAAACCCGGUGAUCUAGCCAUGGGCAGGUUGAAGGUUGGGUAACACUAACUGGAGGACCGAACCGACUAAUGUUGAAAAAUUAGCGGAUGACUUGUGGCUGGGGGUGAAAGGCCAAUCAAACCGGGAGAUAGCUGGUUCUCCCCGAAAGCUAUUUAGGUAGCGCCUCGUGAAUUCAUCUCCGGGGGUAGAGCACUGUUUCGGCAAGGGGGUCAUCCCGACUUACCAACCCGAUGCAAACUGCGAAUACCGGAGAAUGUUAUCACGGGAGACACACGGCGGGUGCUAACGUCCGUCGUGAAGAGGGAAACAACCCAGACCGCCAGCUAAGGUCCCAAAGUCAUGGUUAAGUGGGAAACGAUGUGGGAAGGCCCAGACAGCCAGGAUGUUGGCUUAGAAGCAGCCAUCAUUUAAAGAAAGCGUAAUAGCUCACUGGUCGAGUCGGCCUGCGCGGAAGAUGUAACGGGGCUAAACCAUGCACCGAAGCUGCGGCAGCGACACUAUGUGUUGUUGGGUAGGGGAGCGUUCUGUAAGCCUGUGAAGGUGUGCUGUGAGGCAUGCUGGAGGUAUCAGAAGUGCGAAUGCUGACAUAAGUAACGAUAAAGCGGGUGAAAAGCCCGCUCGCCGGAAGACCAAGGGUUCCUGUCCAACGUUAAUCGGGGCAGGGUGAGUCGACCCCUAAGGCGAGGCCGAAAGGCGUAGUCGAUGGGAAACAGGUUAAUAUUCCUGUACUUGGUGUUACUGCGAAGGGGGGACGGAGAAGGCUAUGUUGGCCGGGCGACGGUUGUCCCGGUUUAAGCGUGUAGGCUGGUUUUCCAGGCAAAUCCGGAAAAUCAAGGCUGAGGCGUGAUGACGAGGCACUACGGUGCUGAAGCAACAAAUGCCCUGCUUCCAGGAAAAGCCUCUAAGCAUCAGGUAACAUCAAAUCGUACCCCAAACCGACACAGGUGGUCAGGUAGAGAAUACCAAGGCGCUUGAGAGAACUCGGGUGAAGGAACUAGGCAAAAUGGUGCCGUAACUUCGGGAGAAGGCACGCUGAUAUGUAGGUGAAGCGACUUGCUCGUGGAGCUGAAAUCAGUCGAAGAUACCAGCUGGCUGCAACUGUUUAUUAAAAACACAGCACUGUGCAAACACGAAAGUGGACGUAUACGGUGUGACGCCUGCCCGGUGC
rnacentral:rRNA from 1 species